GACGUAGGGCGCGAGCGUUGUCCGGAUUUAUUGGGCGUAAAGAGCUCGUAGGCGGCUUGUCGCGUCGACUGUGAAAUCCCGCGGCUCAACUGCGGGUCUGCAGUCGAUACGGGCAGGCUAGAGUUCGGUAGGGGAGACUGGAAUUCCUGGUGUAGCGGUGAAAUGCGCAGAUAUCGGGAGGAACACCGGUGGCGAAGGCGGUUCUCUGGGCCUUACCUGACGCUGAGGAGCGAAAGCGUGGGGAGCGAACAGG
rnacentral:rRNA from 1 species